rnacentral:rRNA from 1 species
CAAGUCGAACGCGAAAGCCCCGCAAGGGGUAAGUAGAGUGGCAAACGGGUGAGUAACACGUGGGUGACCUGCCUUCGAGUGGGGGAUAACGUCCCGAAAGGGACGCUAAUACCGCAUGACAUCCUGCGUUUGGAAACGCGGAGAUCAAAGCCGGGGAUCGCAAGACCUGGCGCUUGAAGAGGGGCCCGCGCCUGAUUAGCUAGUUGGUGGGGUAAUGGCCUACCAAGGCAACGAUCAGUAUCCGGCCUGAGAGGGCGGACGGACACACUGGGACUGAGACACGGCCCAGACUCCUACGGGAGGCAGCAGUGGGGAAUUGUUCGCAAUGGGCGCAAGCCUGACGACGCAACGCCGCGUGGAGGACGAAGAUCUUCGGGUCGUAAACUCCUGUCGAGCGGGAAGAACGCUUCCCGGGUGAAUAAUCCGGGGAAUUGACGGUACCGCUAAAGGAAGCCCCGGCUAACUCCGUGCCANCAGCCGCGGUAAUACGGGGGGGGCAAGCGUUGUUCGGAAUUACUGGGCGUAAAGGGCCAGUAGGCGGCCAACUAAGUCGGAUGUGAAAUCCCCAGGCUUAACCUGGGAACUGCAUCCGAUACUGGAUGGCUUGAAUUCGGGAGAGGGAUGCAGAAUUCCAGGUGUAGCGGUGAAAUGCGUAGAUAUCUGGAGGAAUACCGGUGGCGAAGGCGGCAUCCUGGACCGACAUU